UACGAAGGGGGCUAGCGUUGUUCGGAUUUACUGGGCGUAAAGCGCACGUAGGCGGAUUGGUCAGUUAGGGGUGAAAUCCCGGGGCUCAACCUCGGAACUGCCUUUGAUACUGUAGAUCUCGAGUCCGAUAGAGGUGGGUGGAAUUCCUAGUGUAGAGGUGAAAUUCGUAGAUAUUAGGAAGAACACCGGUGGCGAAGGCGGCCCACUGGAUCGGUACUGACGCUGAGGUGCGAAAGCGUGGGGAGCAAACAGG
rnacentral:rRNA from 1 species